GAUGAACGCUGGCGGCGUGCUUAACACAUGCAAGUCGAACGAAGCACUUUAUUUGAUUUCCUUCGGGACUGAUUAUUUUGUGACUGAGUGGCGGACGGGUGAGUAACGCGUGGGUAACCUGCCUUGUACAGGGGGAUAACAGUUGGAAACGGCUGCUAAUACCGCAUAAGCGCACAGCAUCGCAUGAUGCAGUGUGAAAAACUCCGGUGGUAUAAGAUGGACCCGCGUUGGAUUAGCUAGUUGGUGAGGUAACGGCCCACCAAGGCGACGAUCCAUAGCCGACCUGAGAGGGUGACCGGCCACAUUGGGACUGAGACACGGCCCAAACUCCUACGGGAGGCAGCAGUGGGGAAUAUUGCACAAUGGGCGAAAGCCUGAUGCAGCGACGCCGCGUGAGCGAAGAAGUAGUUCGGUAUGUAAAGCUCCAUCAGCAGGGAAGAUAAUGACGGUACCUGACUAAGAAGCACCGGCUAAAUACGUG
rnacentral:rRNA from 1 species